GCUCUUGGCAAACCUCUAAGCCCUUCCUAUAUAUAUAGUGUUCGCAAGAACUAUGGACAUAAACGCGCUCGCAAUAAGCGGUUCGGACCCGGGGGCGGUACCCGGCGACUCCACCAAUCACCCGUUCAUUUGACGGCGGAGGGGGUCGAAAUAGGAUCGACGAACGUCUAAAGGGGUUAGCUUUGUUUCGGCUGGGUGCCACCGUAUCGGCCCAAAAUGUACAAUUGCAAAUGACAAUCGUGCUCCAGUAGCGAUGGCUGCGUAAGCAGUUUCAGCUUCUGAAACUUAACUCCUUAGGUUUAGCGACUUAAGGCGGGGUUCGCAGGUACCUGGCAACAGAAACCUGCACU
rnacentral:tmRNA from 2 species